AUGGUCCACGUCAGUCUGGGUAUUAUUAUCCGAGCUCUCCCUGAUGGUGAUUAUUGCAGAAUAAUAGCCACAACACAGGUUGAGGAUGUAGCACUGGCAUGCUGCAGUUACCAGUUAAAGCAUAUAUACAAGAUUACUCCUCUCAAUGAUGAUCAAUCAGGAAAAUCCGAGGGUGGUUGUACUACAUAUCCUAGUUCCAAAGGGUUGAAAGAAGCUCUAAACCUUGUGUACAAUAAUCUUCCACCCCAUUUGAAGGCAUGCUUGUUAUAUAUGAAUAUGUAUCCAGAAGGGUACACGACCAGGAAGGAUGAAUUGGUGAAGCAAUGGGUUGCUGAAGAUUUUAUCGGCUCAGUACACGGACAAGACAGAGAGAACACCGCGGGAUGUUAUUUUGAUGCUCUCGUCAGUAGUGGACUGGUCCAAUCCAUAGAUACCGAUCAUAAUGGUGAGGUGUUGUCAUGUACGCUUCACCACAUCGUACUGGAUCUUAUCAGACAAAAAUCCAUGGAGGAAAACUUUGUCACUGUUGUGAAUUAUUUUCAAACAAUUCUAGGACUUCCUGACAAGGUCCGUAGACUGUCUGUCCAGUUGGGAGGUGCAAAAGGUGCAAAUACUAUACCAGACAAUAUGAGAACAUCCCAAGUUAGAUCACUACUAUUUUCUGGAUUCUUCAAAGGUGUACCCUCCAUUGUAGAAUAUGGGCUUCUUCAAGUUUUGAUUCUUCAUAUUUGGUCUGAUCAAGACAAGACUUUUGACCUCACUUCAAUUGGUGAACUAUAUCGACUGAGAUAUCUGAAGAUUGAGUGUAAUAUCACCGUCAAGCUUCCAGGCAAGAUUCGAAGGCUGCGGCACUUGGGUACUCUGCAGGUAGAUGCAAGAUUAGCGGUUGUUCCAUCUGAUAUUAUUCAUCUGGAUAAGUUGCUGCACCUCCGCCUUCGGAGCGAGUCUAUUUUGCCUCACGGGGUUGGCCAUAUGACAUCUCUUCGUACUCUGGGUUAUUUUGAUCUCAACAGUAACCCAAAGAUCAAUUUGAUGGAUCUUAAGAAGCUGACAAAUCUGAAGAAUCUUCAGCUCACCUGUUCUACACUACCGCCAGCUGAAUGCCUUGAAAAGAAUAUGCAACUCCUGAGCUCAGUCCUUAACAAACUUAGCAUCCUGCAGUCUGUAACUCUUGUACCUGCUACAGGCUCCUCCAAUGUAAAUACUUUACAGGCUGAUAAUGAUACUGGUGCUUCAAGCAUGAUCAUUUCAUUUGAUGGCUUCAGCAGCGCGUCCCCUGCCCCAGCGCAUCUUCGGAGACUCGAGUUGUCACGUUGCUGCUGCAUAUUCUCCAGACUCCCAAAAUGGCUUGGUGAACUUGCGCGACUCUGCAUUCUUAAGAUUGCAGUUAAGGAGCUAUCGAACGAAGAUACUGAUAUCCUGAAAGGACUACCUGCCCUAACUGUUCUGUCGUUGCAUGUCAUGACAACGUCUGCAGAAAUGAUUGUCUUUGGCAAGGGAGGGUUCUCAGUUCUCAUAUACUUCAAGUUCACGUGCACUGUGCCUUGGCUGAAAUUUGAAGAGAAUGUAAUGCCUAAUCUCCAAAAGCUCAGGCUAGGUUUCAAUGCUACGACAGUGGAUAAACAAGGGAUCAUUAUUGAGCACUUGUCAUGCAUUAAAGAGAUAUCUGCAAUAAUUGGUUGUGUGAGCGUUGGCGCAGAGUCUGCCUGCCAGAAAGCAAUUAUGAACGAUCCAAGAAAUCCUAAAGUGCAAUGGAUGGGCUCGAUUUAUGUUGGCGACGAAGGUACAGGACACGUGGUGACACAUGAAGCCCAGGAAUAUUACAGAGCUCAAGGUAAGGUUUCGGGGGGAGGUGAAAUCAUGGAUGAAACUGAUGGAAUUCAAGAUGAGAACAAUGAAGUCGCUGGUAAAAGCAAUCCAAGAAAUCAAAUGCUGCAAUCCAUGGGUUCAAUUUAUUAUGGUGGCGAAGGUAGAGAAAUGGUGACACACAGUGGUGGACCCAGAAACCGACCAAGGGAGGAGCUAAGUGGGACGAUGAUUGUUCAGGAGGUGCCGGUCUGGUUCUUGAAGCCCAUGACGGUGAUAGGUGGGUUACUGAUGAGCAUCAUCUUCAUGUUUGUCUUCGUGCUUCUGGCCAUAAGCGUGUUGGAAUGGUUGGUCUAG
rnacentral:rRNA from 1 species